GAUGAACGCUGGCGGCGUGCCUAAUACAUGCAAGUCGAGCGAACAGACGAGGAGCUUGCUCCUCUGACGUUAGCGGCGGACGGGUGAGUAACACGUGGAUAACCUACCUAUAAGACUGGGAUAACUUCGGGAAACCGGAGCUAAUACCGGAUAAUCUAUUGAACCGCAUGGUUCAAUAGUGAAAGACGGUUUUGCUGUCACUUAUAGAUGGAUCCGCGCCGCAUUAGCUAGUUGGUAAGGCAACGGCUUACCAAGGCAACGAUGCGUAGCCGACCUGAGAGGGUGAUCGGCCACACUGGAACUGAGACACGGUCAAGACUCCUACGCGAGGAAGCAGUAGGGAAUCUUGCGCAAUGGGCGAAUGCUUGACGGAGCAACGCCGCGUGAGUGAUGAAGGUCUUCGGAUCGUAAAACUCUGUUAUUAGGGAAGAACAAAUGUGUAAGUAACUAUGCUCGUCUUGACGGUACCUAAUCAGAAAGCCACGGCUAACUACGUG
rnacentral:rRNA from 1 species